UGGGGAAUCUUGCACAAUGGGGGAAACCCUGAUGCAGCGACGCCGCGUGAGCGAUGAAGCCCUUCGGGGUGUAAAGCUCUUUCGGCAGGGACGAUAAUGACGGUACCUGAAGAAGAAGCUGCGGCUAACUACGUGCCAGCAGCCGCGGUAAUACGUAGGCAGCGAGCGUUGUUCGGAGUUACUGGGCGUAAAGCGUGCGUAGGCGGUGGUCCAAGUCUGGUGUGAAAUCUCCCGGCUCAACUGGGAGGGUGCGCCGGAAACUGGGCCGCUGGAGUACGGGAGAGGCAAGCGGAAUUCCAGGUGUAGCGGUGAAAUGCGUAGAUAUCUGGAGGAACACCCGUGGUGCAGACGGCUUGCUGGACCGUGACUGACGCUGAGGCACGAAAGCGUGGGUAGCAAACAG
rnacentral:rRNA from 1 species